GAAGGAUCUGAUCGCAGCGAGAAACCGAACAACAGUCGCGCGUCAUGCGGCGCAACGUGCGUGCGGAUGGUUCUCUUUUCGUUGCGAGACUACAUUGUCCACCGCACCGCGAAUUCCCUCCUCGUUUUUUAUUAUUAUUAUUAUAAUAAAUAUUAAUUAACAAUAUUUCGUGUUAACAUCUCGCGAGAUUUAAUCGUAAUCCCAUUUUUUUUUCUUUCCUACCUACCUUUAUCGUACAUCGAAUUUCGCGGCAAUCGUCCGCCCACUUCCCCCCUCUUUCCGCGCACCUGCUUCCAUUCGCCAAUACGACGCUCGCUAAUCUAUCCCCACUCCGCAACUUUGAGCCGAACCGUCAAUUUUUGCAUUUUAACUAAAACUCGCCCCCUGUGAAAUAAAGUUCUUCAAAAAAGUAAAUUUUUUUUUUGCCUUUUUUUGGGGGGGUGAGGGAAGUGUCCUUUUUGUCACGCGUGCGCCAAUUUUUGCAACGACUAUAUAUCGUCCGGAAACCGGAAGCAGCGCCAGGGCGAGAGAGCGAGCGAGCUUGCGUUCCAGAAUUCGUUCGAAUUAAUUUUGCAUCAGCGACUCUAGAAUCUGGCACUGUCACACUUUUUCAAGAAGAAGUCGACUGUUUCAUCCGUCCAAGAACAAAAAAGGAAAAAAACAAUAAAAAGAGGAAAAAAAGACAAAAAGAAAAAAUCUAUGAAGAGACUGCAAUCUGAAACCAUCAGCCUCUCUCUCUCUCUCUAAAUUCCUCAAAUCACUGCCACAGAAAGUACUUGUCAAGAUUUAUCACCGAGAGAGGGGGGAAGACGACGACAAUAAGACAUUUUUAAGUUACUUCUAUUUUUCUAGUCUAAGACAAAAAAAAAAAAAAAAAAGGAAAAAAGAACUUCCGACGACU